GUGCGUCAGCGGCCGGAAGUGGAGAAUCGGGGGAGGGGCUGAUGCUUCAGGAGAAGAAGGAGGCGGAAGAGAAAGUCGGCCUGCGCCUUCUUUCUUGGGAGAGUCCUGUGCGCCACCUUUGGGGCAGUUUUAAGGCCCUCUUUUGGUUGGCGUUUGGGCAGGAAAUGUCUCAGACGCCUUUAUGGCGUGAGGGUCGAGACACUGAAUAAUCUCUGAGGCGAUGGGGAAAAGAUCCAGCGGGAGGCGGAUUUCCCCACGCCUACUCGGCGCACAGCGAAUUAGGCAUUGAGCGUUCCCAGAGCUCAGCGUGUACUAAAUCUGCACCCUCCAUCCAAGGGGACGAUUUAAGAGUCGUCUCCCAGAAGACAAGAACAUGGAUUUUGGAAGGAAAUCGAGGCAUGAAGUGGAAACAGAAUUCAAAUGCGGAUAUGGUCACCGCUGUGGGGUCCGUCUCACCCCCUUCAGAAUGGCAUCAUCAAGAAUCCAAAAAACAGCGGAUGCUGGGAAGGGUGUGGAGAUCAAGAAACCCUUCUACACUGCUGGUAGGAAUGUUCACGAGUGCAGCCGCGAAGGAGAUCAGCAUGGAGACUCCAACACAAGAAGCAGAGCUGGCAUUUGAUUCAGCAGUACCACGCCUCAGGAUUUUCCAACAGAAUUUACACCAGCAUCGCACAGUGAUUCCUCCACACCCAUGUUCAUGGUGGCACAAGUCACCGUAGCAAGAUGCGGAAGCAGCCCAGGUGCCCAUCCACAGAUGGUGGCUAAGAAGAGUGUGGUAAAAUUCCACCACGCAACAUCAGACAGGAAGAAGGGAGAGGGACAGAAGCGGAGGUCGUGACGGAAGUGGGAAAGUCUGGCUCAGACAGGCGGGUAACUCACGCACUCAUGUUUUUCUGUCCUGUGUGGAAUCUGAGAGAGAUGAAGGGGAGUGAGGGAGGGAGAGAAAACGGAAGUGAAAGGCAGGCUCUGCGUGGGGUGGGGAGCAGAGUGGGGGUGGAGAUUAUCAGAGUACGUCACACACUUGUACCAUACCUCGAAUGUGUCAAAAUAAAGCCCCUUAUUCUGUAUAGCUAACAUGCACUGAGAAAGAAAGCAGGAACCCAUGGCACAAAAAAGAUUUGACAAUAAAAGGAAGACAGCCGGGCAUGGUGGUGCAUGCCUGUAAUCCCAGCACUCAGGAGGCUGAGGCAGGAGGAUCGCUGUGAGUUCGAGACCAGCCUGGGCUACACAAUGU
rnacentral:lncRNA from 1 species